GCGGCAGGUCAACACAUGACGGAUGNGCGCCGUAGCAAUACGGAGCGGCAGACGGGAGAGUAACACUUGGCAACGUACCCUGAGGAAAAGAACAACCCAGGGAAACUUGGGCUAAUACCGGAUAAGCCCUUACGGGGAAAGAUUCAUCGCCGAAGGAUCGGCCCGCGUCUGAUUAGCUAGUUGGUGGGGUAAUGGCCCACCAAGGCGACGAUCAGUAGCUGGUCUGAGAGGAUGAUCAGCCUCACUGGGACUGAGACACGGCCCAGACUCCUACGGGAGGCAGCUGUGGG
rnacentral:rRNA from 1 species